GGCAACAAAUAUGGCAAUCUACUAAAAUUGGGCUGAUACAGAGAAGAUUAGCAUGGCCCCUGCACAAGGAUGACACGCAAAUUUGUGAGGCGCUCCAUACUUUU
ensembl:snRNA U6 U6 spliceosomal RNA